rnacentral:lncRNA from 1 species
CACACUUUUUGUAUAGCGUUUUUUUUUUUCGUUAUUAUUGUUGUUAUUGUAUGAUCCGUAAUGUGAACCGCACCCCUGCCUGCCUCCCUCUGCAUCUGAUAGUCUCUGCUCUGAUACAGGAAUUGGUAACCUCGCCUGAGAGGCACCUGAUGGAGCAUCCAGAAGGGACUUAAAGAUCCAGGGGGAAGGCAGAGAGGACGGUGCCACUUGGGGCCCUGGCCUUUGGAGACUCCAGAGCCCUCAAUGCUCUCCUCAAAGCUGUCUCCUUAUUUGCAGGGAGUGUAGGCUCCUAGGCACCCUGGGGGCUCCUGCACCUCUGUGAGCCAUGCAGCCCACUUCGCAAGCCUCACCCUGUCCCGAGGGACACAGCACAACCCAUAUGUGACCAGGAGCCACAGAGCUCCCCGCCGAGCAUAUCACACGGUGCCGAAUUGCAGUGAGCACGCGCGCAUGCGCCAGGGCCACAGACGCACACCUGUGCACACAGACACACGUGCAGAGCGGGAAGGCUGGCUGGGAUCCCGCCACCAGCUACUUUCCCCCUUGUCAUUUCUCACGACUCCGGGAGAAACUGUGCUGUAGGAUACAAAUCUAUUUUAAUACACAUUACACUGGGUUGAACAAGAUUUUUAUAUUCUUUUAUUGAUGAACAACGUGGGCCCUGUGAGGCACACGCCUUUAUAUAUUGGUUACGCGGUGCCGAUUAUGCAUUACCGCAUGGCUGGCGACGUAACUGUCUUCAGGUUCUUUUGUUGGUUUGAUUUUCUUCCUGGAUGGAUUGAGUUCGAUUUUGUAAGAAACGUGGGAGGAUGUUGGAAGGUUGGACCCGGGAGGGGGAGCUGCUGACGCGUCUCGAGACUUAGUUUUGGGUUUUCUUUUUGGGACCAAGGGGGACCGUCCAGUGGAUAGUGGCUAGAGAAAGUGUUUGUCUUAAAUAUACCAGUGUAGUUUUCCUUCUGUAUGAUGCAUUAAAUCCAAUUUCAAAGCC